CCUACGGGAGGCAGCAGUAGGGAAUAUUGCUCAAUGGGGGUAACCCUGAAGCAGCAACGCCGCGUGGAGGAUGAAGGUUUUAGGAUUGUUAACUUCUUUUGUUAGAGAAGAUUAUGACGGUAUCUAACGAAUAAGCACCGGCCAAUUUCGUGCCAGCAGCCGUGGUACUAUGGAGGGUGCAAGUGUUAUCCGGAAGCACUGGGCGUAAAGAGUGCGUAGGCGGGGUAAUAAGCCAGCUGUGAAAUUCUGUAGCUCAACUACAGAACUGCGUGGUAAACUGGUACUCUGGAGUGUGGGAGAGGUAGGUGGAAUUCUUGGUGUAGGGGUAAAAUGCGUAGAGAUCAAGAAGAAUACUGAUUGCGAAGGCGACAUGCUGGAACAUUGCUGACGCUGAUGCACGAAGGCGUGGGGAGCGAACAGGAUUAGAUACCCCGGUAGUC
rnacentral:rRNA from 1 species